rnacentral:rRNA from 1 species
UACGUAGGGUGCGAGCGUUGUCCGGAUUUAUUGGGCGUAAAGAGCUCGUAGGCGGUCUGUCGCGUCGGCUGUGAAAACCCGGAGCUCAACUCCGGGCCUGCAGUCGAUACGGGCAGACUGGAGUUCGGCAGGGGAGACUGGAAUUCCUGGUGUAGCGGUGAAAUGCGCAGAUAUCAGGAGGAACACCGGUGGCGAAGGCGGGUCUCUGGGCCGGUACUGACGCUGAGGAGCGAAAGCGUGGGGAGCGAACAGG